rnacentral:rRNA from 1 species
UUGAACGCUGGCGGCAUGCUUUACGCAUGCAAGUCGAACGGCAGCGGGGGCUUCGGCCUGCCGGCGAGUGGCGAACGGGUGAGUAAUAUAUCGGAACGUACCCUGUCGUGGGGGAUAACACAUCGAAAGAUGUGCUAAUACCGCAUACGACCUGAGGGUGAAAGCGGGGGAUCGCAAGACCUCGCGCGAUAGGAGCGGCCGAUAUCGGAUUAGCUAGUUGGUGAGGUAAAGGCUCACCAAGGCGACGAUCCGUAGCUGGUCUGAGAGGACGACCAGCCACACUGGGACUGAGACACGGCCCAGACUCCUACGGGAGGCAGCAGUGGGGAAUUUUGGACAAUGGGCGCAAGCCUGAUCCAGCCAUGCCGCGUGAGUGAAGAAGGCCUUCGGGUUGUAAAGCUCUUUCAGACGGAAAGAAAUCGGGCGCGUGAAUAGCGUGCCUGGAUGACGGUACUGUCAGAAGAAGCACCGGCUAACUACGU